GGUUAAGCGACUAAGCGUACACGGUGGAUGCCCUGGCAGUCAGAGGCGAUGAAGGACGUGCUAAUCUGCGAUAAGCGUCGGUAAGGUGAUAUGAACCGUUAUAACCGGCGAUUUCCGAAUGGGGAAACCCAGUGUGAUUCGUCACACUAUCAUUAACUGAAUCCAUAGGUUAAUGAGGCGAACCGGGGGAACUGAAACAUCUAAGUACCCCGAGGAAAAGAAAUCAACCGAGAUUCCCCCAGUAGCGGCGAGCGAACGGGGAGCAGCCCAGAGCCUGAAUCAGUGUGUGUGUUAGUGGAAGCGUCUGGAAAGGCGCGCGAUACAGGGUGACAGCCCCGUACACAAAAAUGCACAUGCUGUGAGCUCGAUGAGUAGGGCGGGACACGUGGUAUCCUGUCUGAAUAUGGGGGGACCAUCCUCCAAGGCUAAAUACUCCUGACUGACCGAUAGUGAACCAGUACCGUGAGGGAAAGGCGAAAAGAACCCCGGCGAGGGGAGUGAAAAAGAACCUGAAACCGUGUACGUACAAGCAGUGGGAGCACAGAGCAAUCUGUGUGACUGCGUACCUUUUGUAUAAUGGGUCAGCGACUUAUAUUCUGUAGCAAGGUUAACCGAAUAGGGGAGCCGAAGGGAAACCGAGUCUUAACUGGGCGUUAAGUUGCAGGGUAUAGACCCGAAACCCGGUGAUCUAGCCAUGGGCAGGUUGAAGGUUGGGUAACACUAACUGGAGGACCGAACCGACUAAUGUUGAAAAAUUAGCGGAUGACUUGUGGCUGGGGGUGAAAGGCCAAUCAAACCGGGAGAUAGCUGGUUCUCCCCGAAAGCUAUUUAGGUAGCGCCUCGUGAAUUCAUCUCCGGGGGUAGAGCACUGUUUCGGCAAGGGGGUCAUCCCGACUUACCAACCCGAUGCAAACUGCGAAUACCGGAGAAUGUUAUCACGGGAGACACACGGCGGGUGCUAACGUCCGUCGUGAAGAGGGAAACAACCCAGACCGCCAGCUAAGGUCCCAAAGUCAUGGUUAAGUGGGAAACGAUGUGGGAAGGCCCAGACAGCCAGGAUGUUGGCUUAGAAGCAGCCAUCAUUUAAAGAAAGCGUAAUAGCUCACUGGUCGAGUCGGCCUGCGCGGAAGAUGUAACGGGGCUAAACCAUGCACCGAAGCUGCGGCAGCGACGCUUAUGCGUUGUUGGGUAGGGGAGCGUUCUGUAAGCCUGCNNNNNNNNNNNNNNNNNNNNNNNNNNNNNNNNNNNNNNNNNNNNNNNNNNNNNNNNNNNNNNNNNNNNNNNNNNNNNNNNNNNNNNGUCCCUCGCGGGUGGAGCUGAAAUCAGUCGAAGAUACCAGCUGGCUGCAACUGUUUAUUAAAAACACAGCACUGUGCAAACACGAAAGUGGACGUAUACGGUGUGACGCCUGCCCGGUGCCGGAAGGUUAAUUGAUGGGGUUAGCGCAAGCGAAGCUCUUGAUCGAAGCCCCGGUAAACGGCGGCCGUAACUAUAACGGUCCUAAGGUAGCGAAAUUCCUUGUCGGGUAAGUUCCGACCUGCACGAAUGGCGUAAUGAUGGCCAGGCUGUCUCCACCCGAGACUCAGUGAAAUUGAACUCGCUGUGAAGAUGCAGUGUACCCGCGGCAAGACGGAAAGACCCCGUGAACCUUUACUAUAGCUUGACACUGAACAUUGAGCCUUGAUGUGUAGGAUAGGUGGGAGGCUUUGAAGUGUGGACGCCAGUCUGCAUGGAGCCGACCUUGAAAUACCACCCUUUAAUGUUUGAUGUUCUAACGUGGACCCGUAAUCCGGGUUGCGGACAGUGUCUGGUGGGUAGUUUGACUGGGGCGGUCUCCUCCUAAAGAGUAACGGAGGAGCACGAAGGUUGGCUAAUCCUGGUCGGACAUCAGGAGGUUAGUGCAAUGGCAUAAGCCAGCUUGACUGCGAGCGUGACGGCGCGAGCAGGUGCGAAAGCAGGUCAUAGUGAUCCGGUGGUUCUGAAUGGAAGGGCCAUCGCUCAACGGAUAAAAGGUACUCCGGGGAUAACAGGCUGAUACCGCCCAAGAGUUCAUAUCGACGGCGGUGUUUGGCACCUCGAUGUCGGCUCAUCACAUCCUGGGGCUGAAGUAGGUCCCAAGGGUAUGGCUGUUCGCCAUUUAAAGUGGUACGCGAGCUGGGUUUAGAACGUCGUGAGACAGUUCGGUCCCUAUCUGCCGUGGGCGCUGGAGAACUGAGGGGGGCUGCUCCUAGUACGAGAGGACCGGAGUGGACGCAUCACUGGUGUUCGGGUUGUCAUGCCAAUGGCACUGCCCGGUAGCUAAAUGCGGAAGAGAUAAGUGCUGAAAGCAUCUAAGCACGAAACUUGCCCCGAGAUGAGUUCUCCCUGACUCCUUGAGAGUCCUGAAGGAACGUUGAAGACGACGACGUUGAUAGGCCGGGUGUGUAAGCGCAGCGAUGCGUUGAGCUAACCGGUACUAAUGAACCGUGAGGCUUAACCUU
rnacentral:rRNA from 1 species